CGGACGGGUGAGUAAUGUCUGGGAAACUGCCCGAUGGAGGGGGAUAACUACUGGAAACGGUAGCUAAUACCGCAUAACGCCGCAAGACCAAAGAGGGGACCUUAGGGCCUCUUGCCAUCGGAUGUGCCCAGAUGGGAUUAGCUAGUAGGUGGGGUAAUGGCUCACCUAGGCGACGAUCCCUAGCUGGUCUGAGAGGAUGACCAGCCACACUGGAACUGAGACACGGUCCAG
rnacentral:rRNA from 1 species